rnacentral:rRNA from 1 species
CUACGGGCUGCUCCAGUAGGGAAUAUUGCGCAAUGGGGGAAACCCUGACGCAGUGACGCCGCGUGAGUGAUGAAGGCCCUCGGGUCGUAAAGCUCUGUUGUAGGGGAAGAAAUGCCCAUGUAACUCAUGGGAGCUGACGGUACCCUAUAAGAAAGGACCGGCUAACUACGUGCCAGCAGCCGCGGUAAUACGUAGGGUCCUAGCGUUGUUCGGAAUUACUGGGCGUAAAGAGUAUGUAGGCGGGUUUGUAAGUCAGAUGUGAAAUCCCAGGGCUCAACCUUGGAAUUGCAUUUGAAACUACAGAUCUUGAAUAUUGAAGGGGUUAGCGGAAUUCCUGGUGUAGUGGUGAAAUACGUAGAUAUCAGGAGGAACAUCUGAGGCGAAGGCGGCUAACUGGUCAUAUAUUGACGCUGAGAUACGAAAGCGUGGGGAGCAAACAGGAUUAGAUACCCUUGUAGUC